UACGUAGGAUGCGAGCGUUGUCCGGAAUUAUUGGGCGUAAAGAGAACGUAGGCGGUUUUUUAAGUUUGGGCUUAAAGACUGGGGCUCAACCCCAGGAGUGGCUCGAAAACUGAAAGACUAGAGGAUGGCAGAGGAAAGUGGAAUUCCCAGUGUAGCGGUGAAAUGCGUAGAUAUUGGGAGGAACACCAGUGGCGAAAGCGACUUUCUGGGCCAUUCCUGACGCUGAGGUUCGAAAGCUCGGGGAGCAAACAGG
rnacentral:rRNA from 1 species